AGCGAACGCUGGCGGCAGGCCUAACACAUGCAAGUCGAACGAUCCUUCGGGAUAGUGGCGGACGGGUGAGUAACACGUGGGAACGUGCCCUUUGGUUCGGAACAACUCAGGGAAACUUGAGCUAAUACCGAAUGUGCCCUUCGGGGGAAAGAUUUAUCGCCAUUGGAGCGGCCCGCGUCUGGUUAGCUAGUUGGUGAGGUAAUGGCUCACCAAGGCGACGAUCAGUAGCUGGUCUGAGAGGAUGAUCAGCCACACUGGGACUGAGACACGGCCCAGACUCCUACGGGAGGCAGCAGUGGGGAAUCUUGCGCAAUGGGCGAAAGCCUGACGCAGCCAUGCCGCGUGAAUGAUGAAGGUCUUAGGAUUGUAAAAUUCUUUCACCGGGGACGAUAAUGACGGUACCCGGAGAAGAAGCUCCGGCUAACUUCGUGCCAGCCGCCGCAGUAAAAC
rnacentral:rRNA from 1 species